UGUAAUCUUAGGUGUCUAGAAUGCAGAGAGCGAUUUUGGAGCAUAAUGGCAGUGGUUGUCUAUUGUCGUUCAGACAUGAGCUGCAUCAGAAAAGGGCUUGUGGGAACUAGAUAAGAGUUGGUCAAAAGUGGGCUAUAAAUCAAACUGAGGCCGUAUUCUGCUGAUUUCACACACACGCUCCCUGGGAAGUGGGGGGAAGUGAUAGAUCUGCAAUUUACUGCUUAUCGCAUCUGCUAGAAGUUUCAUAACACAAAAGCCUGACCUUCAAUGAAUAAACCACCCUCGCUGACUACCUGUUUCAGGCUGCAAAAAAUAUAUAUUAUAUUAUUCUAUGCUCAUCCCAAAGAGCUGCUGGGAGAGAAAGGAUGGGCUGGGGGCGGUGAGCACUGUUCUGAAAAUGGUGUGACAUCUUUUUGGGCUUAACAAGCUCUCGCCUGUCGCUAGCAGCUGUCACUUUAGCUACUUGUAGUCACUUUGCCAUCAAAAUGUGCUGAAUUUAUUAAAAGGAACCAGAUACUUAUGAAACAGGACUAAAAGGUCUACAGGGAGAAAACAGCCGCUCAACCACUAAAAGUCUGCAGAGCAGAAGCCGGUCAGCCAGCCAGCCAACCAGCCAACUAGCCAACCAUUCCACAGUUAUGGAUCACACACCAAAAGUAAUGGAACAUGAACAAGAAGAAAAAGAAUAAAACAUGAAGGUGAAAAGUCAGGAGAUGCUCUCCUCCUAGGCAUAUAAUAAACAAUUGGGAAUUCAAGUCAUUAGGAAAUUCUUGAAAGAUGCAACCAAGAUACAGUUCUCCAAAUUUAUGCUGACUGAAAAUAUAAACAGAGAAUAAGCAAUAGAUGGGAAUGGAUGUCCAAGCUGUAACUACAGUGCUGAUCUUUGAGGAAUCUGCAACUGGAGUAUAUUGCAAUAUAAUUCCAGACAAAUAACAAAUGUGAGGUUAAAAAAGGAUGAGUCACAGUUUGUGGGAUUUCCUAUGGAGUUAUAGCAUUGCUGUGGAGGCAUUCUGCCCACAUCUUUAUCUGCUCUAUAUUAACAGUUGUGUGUGUUUGUAUGUUUUAUUGUGCCUACUUGAACAGUGCUCUCUGGUUUGUCUGUUUCUGUGCAAUAUUUCACUGUAGGCAAACACCUUCUCUCCAACUGGAACACCAUCUCAUUUCUGCUCAGUGUUGCUUCCCUACAUGAUGAUUGUUUUCUACAAGUUCACAAAAUCUACAUGUUUUAUAAGUUCAGGAAGUGUAUUUGUAGAAAAACUAUGGAAACAGAAAAAUGGACAUUGAUGGCAUGGAAGAGUAAAAUGAUGACCCUAUUAAUUUAUUUGAAAGUCAAAUUGAUUAUUGAUUGCCACUUUCCCCUUUAUAGUCCAUGCCACAGGAAAAAAAAUGUGAUGGGGUAAAGAAUCAGGGGAAUCCAUCAUUUUUGUCUACCUCAUGUUUCUCUCAACAAUUAAUCUCAUGGAAAAGAGCCAUCUCAAUCAUUUCCUCCCUUUUUCAGUAUUACAUGUGAUUUGACUGACCUAGAGGUGUUGAAAUAUGUGAUUUGGAUAAACCAAAGUAUGAUGGAGAACAGCAUGAAUUCAAAGACACUUGCUUUUUUGUUGAAAGGAUUCAAGCAGGAGGACCAUUCAAACAGAACAUUAUAAUAUACAUAGAGCCCUCUAGGUGUUAUUGGAUUCCAAUUACUAAAAAUGCCAUAAAAUGGGGGUUGGAACCCAGAAACAUAGACAACUACAAAUUCUCAAAGCUUUGCUAUACAUUGAGAAAUAUAUGGGAUGUGAAAAUAGAAACAGAACUUCUAAGAAAUAUCUAGCACAUCCUCCUGAUUUAUGUUAAAACAAGCAAGAGAGGUGCCAUUGGAGAGUCUUAGUAUUAUUAUUAGAUAUGGAAUCUUUUGCUUUGAGGUUCAAUCCUCCUCCUCUAUUUUUCUAUUAAUUAUGUUAUUCUAUGAUUGAAUGGGACUUAGUUAUUAGCCCAUAAUAAAUCUUUUACCACUACUCGCAUUAUUCCUGGAAAGUGUAUCCCUGGUUCUCCUCAACUGUGGCCAUGCUUGUCUUCAUAAAAAUCCUGCACAAUAGUUUAGACUAAGAGAUAAUUAUUGGCCUGAAGUCAGUAAAUUUCAUGAGUAAGCUCAGAUAUGAACCCAAGUCUUUCCCAGUCCUAGUGUAAUCACUAAGUUUUUGUUUUGGGAUUUUUAAAAGAUCCUCAGAUAGUCUUUUAAACAGAAUCAUGGAUCUAGUCAACAGCACAACAGCUUUAAAACCUAAACAAGAAAGAGUGAACUUUGCUCACAGAGAACAGCUGUUUUAUGUAAAGAGUUCUGCAGCUGGGAUGACUAGCUUUAACUGCUGGGAAGAUGCAGAAUUCUUAACCCAAACUUAAAUGGGGGAGAGGGAGAGGAAAAAGAACAUAGCCCAUAAUGGUGAGAGAUAACAGGUGGAAAGCCUUAUUUUGCCAUUGUGCCUUAAGGGUAAAAUCUGGCAGGCAGAAGUCGCUUCAGAACAAAAGCCACAGCAUCUGCUGUUCACUGCACUUCUCCAGUCCAUCUCUAUUUUUUCAGCCUCACUGACAACGUUUUGACAGCAGGAUUUUACAGAGUUUUCAUUUUUUAUUCUUUCAAAACUUUCAGAUACUUAAAUGAGGCUUUGGGUUUGAAGCCCCAUUUCUGUUUCAUCACAACAAUAAUUGAUGUUGAAAAGUGCAGUUUCCACUGCACUCAAGUAUGGCAAGUACAUGCUUGAUCCAUGAGAACAAAAUUAGAAGGAUAAUAGUUUCACUGGGAUCAACCACAAGGAUACCAAAAAACAAACAAACAAACCCCACCACAUUUGGACUUUUCAGUUUUCCAGAAGUUAUUCCCUCUCAUGUGGUGGAGUUAUCUGAUUCAUCAGAUGCUUAGGUUCUCAACCUAAGAGAAGAACAUAUGCUUGACCCAAUGGUGAGCAAACCUUUGGGAGGGGGGAAGAGAUCAGGCUGUGAUCAGAACAUCCUCUAUAUAGGAUGUGAUAAUUGAUACAAGAAAGAUAACAACGCAAGAAGAGAAUGAGAAGCAACCACGAUGAACAUAUUUUUGCAGAAUCCUGAAGGAGAGUAGAGUCUAUGGCCACAUUAUAAAUGUUGAGAAUACAUAGACAUGGAGCAUUGUUCUUCAGUUCUGCUAUAGUCAGCUUAGCUUUGGUAAGAGUACUUCUGAUCAAUCUCUCUAGGCUUUAUCUUCAACCAGCUACCAGUUGUAUUUUCCAUGAAUGCUUCUGGAGUCAAUAGGGAACAAAGGGAAUUGUGAAAAUAAAAAGAAUGCUAGAAAUGCUGUUUUCCCUUGCAGCAUGACAGCUUUCGUUGAAUUUUAUUGAAAAAGUGGGACUGCUACAUCUGGAUUGCAAACAUCCAGGAAAGCAACAGAUGGCAACAAAAUGGGACAGGGAAGUCUAAUGCUUUGCUGCCCUCUAUGAUCACGUAGACUUUUGCAACCCAGAAAUGGUAAUCCCAUGAAAAAUAGGGUAGUCAGAUAGAAUGGGGCACUUGGAAAAUUCCAGGUAUGAAAGUUAUGGGCAGACUGGUGCCUACAGGCAAAGUUUCAGCUGUAGCCUAUGCUCAUUGGGCACAAGUGAAAUCACACGCUUAAAUACACUCAAUGUCCAUUCCAGCAGUGCAUGACACAUGGACAGUUAAUAUCUGCCUUUUCUCAUUGUCCACAAACCCUCAAUAUUAUUUAUUCAAGAAAAAUCAUAACAACUCUGUGGAUAUAGUCCCUUUCUGCCUUGGCUACCAGCUUUAGGCUUUGCCACUUGCCCGAGAUGAACAAAGCUAAGGUUGGAAUUUAGCUGCAGUUUAAAAGGGUUUAGCCUGAAUUGAAACAGCUCCCUGUGUCUGCAGACAUAGAAUAGCCUAUUGUGGACAUUUACUCCGUCCUCUUUUGACUCCACCCAGACUCUCUUGUGCUGUCUGGAAUGUGACCUUAAGGCUGAGAAUCCUUCUCUAUCAGGAACAAGCAAAUCCAUUUUAGCCCAUUUUAUUUGAAAUCAGGGAAGGGGGGAGGAGCAUGGUGUUAUCCAGAGACUUGCAUUAUACAUACAGCUGCUUAUAUGAGCUAUAAAGGAUAAUUUUCUUGUAUUAACGUCAUAAAUUUUGUCCAGGCAGUGAGGCUUCCCACUGCAUAAUAGCUUAAUUUUUCAUUCUAAUAAUAACUGGCUGCCAGCUGAAAUGAAUGGGCGGAAAAAACAAACAUUUCUGUUCCAUGACAUGAUCUAUGACAGAUGUACAGAUUUGGGAGGCCCUCUGGCAGGGUGUCCUAACCUUCCUGCUCUUGACCCAAUUCCCUCCCCCCACCCAAAAAAGGGAAUUGACAUCAAGAUAAGAGAGUAAACCAUAAAAGAACUUCAAGAAUAAGUAAAAAUCCUCGUCCUCUAGUUAAAUUGUAAUUGGCAAUCAGCCUGAUUUAAAACCACAUUAAAUAGCCAGACAUUUUUAAAGUGCCUUCAGCUUAUGUGUGUAAAUAAAAGAAUGAAAACAUUUCCUUGUUUGUUUAUUUUUAAAAUGCAUGGUAUGGGAGCCUGUUAGAAAUAAUA